GACGAGCUCUCCAAACGUUAUUCGGUAUCACUGGGCUUAAAGAGUUCGUAGGCGGUCUGGUAGGUGAGGUGUGAAAUCCCCCGGCUCAACCGGGGAACUGCGCUUCAAACCGCCGGACUUGAGGGAGGCAGAGGUGGGCGGAACAGAUGGUGGAGCGGUGAAAUGCGUUGAUAUCAUCUGGAACACCGGUGGCGAAAGCGGCCCACUGGGUCUCAUCUGACGCUGAGGAACGAAAGCUAGGGUAGCGAACGGG
rnacentral:rRNA from 1 species